rnacentral:rRNA from 1 species
UACGUAGGCAGCAAGCGUUGUUCGGAGUUACUGGGCGUAAAGGGUGUGUAGGCGGUUAUUUAAGUUUGGUGUGAAAUCUCCCGGCUCAACCGGGAGGGUGCGCCGAAUACUGAAUGACUUGGAGUGCGGGAGAGGAAAGUGGAAUUCCUGGUGUAGCGGUGAAAUGCGUAGAUAUCAGGAGGAACACCUAUUGCGAAGGCAGCUCGCUGGGACGUAACUGACGCUGAGACGCGAAAGCGUGGGGAGCAAACGGG